rnacentral:lncRNA from 1 species
UGUGCCUGAAUUUGGAAAUAUGGUGUUUGAGGAUGUUACCAAGUUCAAAUGAAAUCCUUAGAGUGGGUCCUAAUCCAAGUAGAAGGAGUCUUGAAGAGGAGAUUAAAAUGCAGAUGUGCACAAAUGGAAGACCACAUGUAGAACUCUAAGCCAAGAGGAGUGGUCUCAGAAGAAAUCAACUCUGACACACCAGUCUUAGAAUUCUAGCAUCUACAAUUGUGAGAAAAUGUAUUUCUCUUCUUUAAACUACUGUCUGUGGUUCUUAGUUAUGGAACCCCUAGAAAAUUAACACACCGGGUCAGUCUGCUUUAGAGUCAACCCUUUUCAAUCCUCUUUAUCUGUUCCUGCAGCGCUGGCUCUGACUUGGAAUGUUUAUGCCUUGGAAUGGGAUUAGGCCUGUGGGGUGCCUAGUAACAUUCUGUUCCAUUGGAGUAAAUUCCAGGAGGCAGUUUAGUGCUCAGCUUGGCCCUGAAGGAGGAUGUAACCUCAGGAAACAGAACUCCAGUCUCCCAAAUGAAAAGCUUCCUGUAGCUACUCCAAGUCCUUCUAGGAAGAUCAACUGGAGAUUGAGACAGUGGAGAGACAGUCCACAUCCAAGCACCCUGAAUGCAUCAAAAAUCUUUGAGAAACGAUCUCCCAAAGCUCUGAGGCAUCCAUCUACUUGA